rnacentral:rRNA from 1 species
GACGAACGCUGGCGGCGUGCUUAACACAUGCAAGUCGAACGAAGAGCGAUGGAAGCUUGCUUCUAUCAAUCUUAGUGGCGAACGGGUGAGUAACGCGUAAUCAACCUGCCCUUCAGAGGGGGACAACAGUUGGAAACGACUGCUAAUACCGCAUACGAUCUAAUCUCGGCAUCGAGGAUAGAUGAAAGGUGGCCUCUACAUGUAAGCUAUCACUGAAGGAGGGGAUUGCGUCGGAUUAGCUAGUUGGAGGGGUAACGGCCCACCAAGGCGAUGAUCAGUAGCCGGUCUGAGAGGAUGAACGGCCACAUUGGGACUGAGACACGGCCCAGACUCCUACGGGAGGCAGCAGUGGGGAAUCUUCCGCCAUGGACGAAAGUCUGACGGAGCAACGCCGCGUGAGGGAUGACGGCCUUCGGGUUGUAAAGCUCUGUUAAUCGGGACGAAAGGCCUUCUUGCGAAUAGUGAGAAGGAUUGACGGUACCGGAAUAGAAAGCCACGGCUAACUACGUG